GCGGAGGGCCGGAUGGCCGCUUCGGCGGGGUGACCCGCCGGGGAGGAAAGUCCGGACUCCCUGAAGCAACGGUGCCGGGUAACGCCCGGGCGGGGCAACCCGACGGAAAGCGCCACAGAAAACAGACCGCCUCCGGCCUGGCCGGGGGUAAGGGUGAAACGGUGGAGUAAGAGACCACCGCGUCCCUGGCAACAGGGGCGGCACGGCAAGCCCCACCGGGAGCAAUGCCGAAUAGGACCCCCGCGCGGAACCGGUCUUCGGGCCACCGCUAGGCUCGCUUCAGCCGAGAGGGGUCGGGUUGGCAGCUCAAGGGCCGUGGCAACACGUCCCGUAGAGGAAUGGUCAUCGACGGGGGCAACCCCUGAACAGAAUCCGGCUUACAGGCCCUCCGCGCGU
rnacentral:RNase_P_RNA from 1 species